rnacentral:tRNA from 1 species
GCCCAGAUGGCGAAAUGGCAGCCGCGCCUGACUCAAAAUCAGGUCUCGAAAGGGGUGUGGGUUCAAGUCCCUCUCUGGGUACCA